GUAUGUUUUGUAUAUUGACGCCAGGAGCCAGGAGCUGAAAAUUGACAAAUUGGUACCACUCAGAGGGACCAAAAGUUUUAGUGUUUUUUAUAUACCUUUAUGUCUCUAUAUAUCAAAAAAGUAUGAUGGACAACUCAAUUUGGUAGCUCAAACUCAG